CAAGGAAUAUUGCGCAAUGGGCGAAAGCCUGACGCAGCGACGUCGCGUGGGGGAUGAAGGUCUUCGGAUCGUAAACCCCUUUUCUCAGGGAAGAAUAAUGACGGUACCUGAGGAAUAAGUCUCGGCUAACUACGUGCCAGCAGCCGCGGUAAUACGUAGGAGGCGAGCGUUAUCCGGAUUUACUGGGCGUAAAGAGGGCGUAGGCGGCCUUUCAAGUCGGAUGUAAAAUCUCCCGGCUCAACUGGGAGGGCGCAUUCGAUACUGUUAGACUUGAGGGCAGCAGAGGAAAGCGGAAUUCCCGGUGUAGUGGUGAAAUGCGUAGAUAUCGGGAGGAACACCAGUGGCGAAGGCGGCUUUCUGGGCUGCAUCUGACGCUGAGGCCCGAAAGCGUGGGGAGCGAACAGG
rnacentral:rRNA from 1 species